GUCCACGCCCUAAACGAUGUCGACUGGUUGUUGGGGGUUUGACACUCUCAGUAACGAAGCUAACGCGUGAAGUCGACCGCCUGGGGGAGUACGGCCGCAAGGUUAAAACUCAAAGGAAUUGACGGGGACCCGCACAAGCGGUGGAUUAUGUGGAUUAAUUCGAUGCAACGCGAAAAACCUUACCUACCCUUGACAUGUCCGAGAGCCUGGAGAGAUCCAGGUGUGCCCGAAAGGGAAUCGGAACACAGGUGCUGCAUGGCUGUCGU
rnacentral:rRNA from 1 species